UCAAUAUAUAAUUUUACCAGAUAAACCCUUUCAUAUUUUUAAUAUCAUUUUUCAAUUCCCCAAACAAGAACAGGAAGGUACAAGUGGCCGAGGGUUUAUCUUGUGUUGCACAGAUUUCCACUUAACUUGCUCAUCACCAAACUUUGAAGCUGGUACACUGCCUUCAAAUCUGGCUGUAUCUGGGAACAAAAAUAACAGUUGCAGAAAUUUGGGGUUUUUGGAGGAGUGAAGUUGGGUAGAAGCUUUCGGGCUUCGGUGGUCUUCUUGGUUAUAAUGGUUCUCCACAUCGUGGCUAUUUUAUUGUUUACUAGAGGUAAUCUCCUUCUCAAUCAGGCCGAACUUUCCCAAUAUAGUCGAUGCUCCGAUGUUUUCGAGUCUCCUUGUUUCCUCCUUAUGAUCACAAUGUUAACAACUCCUGUGGAGCAAUGGCUAACAUGACGAAACCUGCAGUUGACGGGGCUCGUUGUAAUUGUUCUCGAUACUCGCAGGUGGAUGGCAGGUGCAUCAAGAACUUGCUUCCAACCCUGUACAGAGAGUAUUUGCUCAUAGUACCCUUUCUUGGAGUGGCAGUGGCAAAGAAAACUCAAAUAAUGAGCUAUUCGGGGAUGAAGUUGGUAAAUAAGGGACAACGUAAUGACUUCAGAAAGAGGAAGUGGCAGGAUAAGAAUAAGAACACUGGACAGUUUAAGAAGCAGAUAUAUGUGGGUUAGUCAAGCAACCAUUUAUCCUAAUGUCCUAAGUGUAACAACUUUCACAGAGGAGAAUUUCUGUAUGGAAAGUAUGUUUGCUAUAAGUGUAACCAACCUGGCCACGUGGUAUCUUCGUGCCCGUUGACUAAGAAACCCAAGCAAGAGAAGAAAUGAAAAGCAAGGGUGAUUGCUUUGACUCACGACAUGGCUACCUAAAAUUCGGACGUAAUACCAGGUAUUUUAUCCAUCUCUAGUAUUCAUGUUUAUGUCCUCAUUGAUUCUGGUAUGACACAUUCAUUCAUAUCUAAUGCAUGUCUAGCUAUGACUAAUGUUUCAUGUCAGAAAAAUGAUAGUGUACUACAGGUUAGUAUGCUAUCAGGGGGAACUAUUGAUACAGAUAGAAUAGCAAAGGGGAUGCAGAUAAUUUUUGAUGGACUGACAUUAGAAGCCGACUUGUAUGCUAUAGAGAUGAAAGAUUUUGAUAUUAUUUUAGGCAUGGAUUGGUUAGGUGAAAAUCGAGCCAUAAUGGUAUGUUUUAAGAAAGAUGUAAUUUUUCGAAAAACUGGAAAAGAGGAGUUCAGACUUUAUGGAUAUCUUGUCAUUCUUACUAGUACCACAUCUCAAGAGAAAAUAUUAAAUGAUGUACCAAUUAUAUUGGAAUAUGCUAAUAUGUUUUCAGAUGAUCUAUCGGGUACUCCGCCCUAUAAACAAGUGGAAUUCUUGGUAGAUCUGGUACCUGGAGCUAUUCAUGUGUCCAAAGUUUCAUACCGAAUGGCGCCAAAGGAAUUACAAGAGUUGAAGAUAUUGUUAAAAGGACUUCUAGACAAGGAUUCAUUAGACUAAGUAUAUCUCCGUGGGGAGCUCCGGUACUAUUUGUAAAGAAGAAAGAUGGUACUAUGAGGUUGUGCAUCGACUAUCAUGAACUAAAUACGUAGACGAUCAAGAAUUAGUAUCCUCUUUUGAGGAUUGAGGACCUGUUUGACCAGUUGAAGGGUGAAUCCGUGUUCUCGAAAUUUAACCCCCGUUUGCCCCCAUUCUUGCCAAAUUUUAAUGGUUGGAAUAGUGUUUUUAUGAAAAAUGUGUGGUUGAAAAAGAAUGAAAAGUGUUUGAUUUGUGUAUAAUAUUAUUUUAUGGAAGAUUAUGUGGUUGAAAAUAAGAGAGAAAAAGAAUGAGAAUGAGAAUUAGGACCAAACAGGGGUUUAAUUUAAGGUGGGGCUACCAUCAACUGAAGAUUAAGUCAGGUGAUAUAUCAAAGACGACAUUUAGGACUCGAUAUGAGCAUUAUGAGUUUAUGGUGAUGCCCUUUGGCUCAACGAAUGCCCCUACAGUAUUUAUGAACUUGAUAAAUAGAGUGUUCCAUCAAUAUUUGGACAUGUUUAUCGUUGUAUUUAUUGACGACAUAUUGAUAUACUCGAGAGAUUCUCAGCAACACGAAGAACAUUUAAGGAUAGUUUUGGAAACACUGCGUGAGGAAAACUUAUAUGUCAAAUUUACGAAAUGUGAAUUUUUCCUGGACCAAAUGAGAUUUCUAGGCCUUACUAUUUCAGAACGAAGAAUUGAAGUGGAUCAAUCCAAAGUGAAUGCAGUGACCAAUUAGCCAGACCUACAAAAGUUGGAAAAGUGUGGAAUUUUCGAUGUUCAGCUGGCUAUUAUCGAUGAUUUAUUGAAGGAUUUUUCAAGAUUACGGGCCCUAUGACAUAGUUGACUCGGAAGGGUACUAUAUUCGAACGACAGGAGAAAUGCAAAAAGAGUUUUGGAGAGUUAAAGGAUAGGCUCGUAUCUACGUCAAUUUUGACUAUUGUUGAUGGUUCGAAAGGUUUUGUGAUUUAUAGCGAUGCAUCCAAACUUAGUUUGGAAUGUGUUUUGAUACAACAUGGGAAAGUGAUAGCUUAAGAUUCGAGGUAAUUGAAGCAAUAUGAAUAGAAUUAUCCCACACAUGAUCUCGAACUAGAAGUGGUAGUACACGCUUUGAAGAUUUGGUGACACUACCUAUAUGGAAGCAAAUGUGAGAUCUAUAUCGAUCAUAAGAGUCUCAAAUACUUUUUCACCUAAAAGGAGUUGAAUAUGAGAUAGUGACGGUGGUUAGAAUUAGUGAAGGAUUACGACUGCACCAUUUUGUACCAUCCAGGUAAGUUUAAUGUAGUUGCUGAUGCGCUAACUAGAAAGAACAUGGGAUAGGUGUCAGCACUGUGUACAAGACGUGAUCAUUUAAUCAGAGAUUUUGAGAACCUGAGAAUUGAAGUAUUAUUGUCACCAGUAAAGACAUCGACGAUGUUAGCAAGUUUUACUGGAAACCGACACUCAAUGAUAGAAUAGUAGCUGCUUAGAAAGAUGAUUCAUUUUUGGAAAAGAUCAGGGUUGAUGUGGGAACUAAGAAGAUGAAAGGAUUUGAAAUAGCUGAAGAUGAAGCUUGAUGUUUAAAGGUCGAUUGUACAUGCCAAAGGAUGAAGUGUUAAGGAAUGAGAUUAUGGCUGAAGCUCACUCAGCUCCUUAUGCCGCACACCCAGGACGAAACUAAAAUGUAUCGAGAUUUGUGUGAGACAUUUUGGUGGAGAAAUAAGAAGGGAAAGAUAGCCCUGUUUGUGUCCAAAUGCAUGGUUUGUCAACAAGUGAAGGCUGAACAUUAGAGGCCGUUGAGGCCGUUGAACCACAUGGGCAUACUCGAAUGGAAGUGGGAAAAGAUCGCAAUGAAUUUUUGUCGUUUGUUUUCCUAGAUCAAUGAGAGGUCAUGAUACGAUCUAGGUGAUUGUCGAUCAACUUACAAAAUCUGCUCAUUUCUUUCCAGUGCGAACAACCUAUAGUUUAGAACAACUCAUACAGAUUUAUAUCAGAGAGAUUAUGUGGCUUCAAGUUAACAUUUAGUAUGGCAUACCAUCCACAAACUUACAAACAAUCUAAACAAACUGUCCAAGUUCUUGAAAAUAUGUUGAGAGCUUGUGUCCUAGAUUUGGAAGGUAAAUGGGAAGAUCAUUUGUUGUUGGCUGAUUUUGCAUACAACAAUAGCUUUCUGGCCACAAUUGGCAUGGCACCGUAUGAAGCUUUGUAUGGUAGAUGUUGUUGCUCACCGUUAUAUUGGGAUAAAGUUGGUGAAAGGAGGAUUUUGGGUUCGAAUUUGGUCGAGAAGACUGUGGAGGCUAUAUAUAAAAUUAGAUCAAGAGUUAAGACUGUCCAAGAUCGUCAAAAGAACUAUGCUGACAAAAGGAUAAAAGAAUUGACUUUCGAGGUUAGUAAGAAAGUAUUUCUCAAAGUGGGGCCGAUGAAGAAAAUACUAUGAUUUGGAAAGAAAGGGAAAUUGAGUCCUAGAUUUAUUGGUCCAUUUGAGAUUCUUGAAAAGAUUGGGAAUGUGGCAUAUCGCUUAGCAUUGCCACCCAAGCUUUCAACAGUGCACAACAUAUUUCACAUUUCUAUGUUAAGAAAGUAUAUCCCGGAUCCUAGCCAUGUGAUGAAUGUCCAAACACUGGAUGUCCAGAGUGACAUGAAGUACGAAGAAGCUCCUGUUGUGAUUCUCAAGAGAAAGGACCAUGUUUUGAGAAAUCGAAAGGUUUCACUAGUCAAAGUUUAGUGGAGUAAAAAUGGUGAGGAUGAGGCUACUUGGGAAAGAGAAGAAUACGAUAUAGCUAAGUAUCCCGAUCUCCUUAAACUAGUAAGUUAAAUUUCGAGGACGAAAUUAUUUUAAGUGGGAGAGUUGUAGCGAUCGGAAAAAAAUAAGAAAAAUGUUGUGUUUCAUUUUAAAAUAAAAUUUUCUUGUAGUACUCGAAGAUAAUUUGGGUUGUAUUGUUACGUCGCUACGACCCUUCCUUAGGAGUUCAAAUUAAAGCUUCGGCCACGAUAGUAAAGUUUUGCGUACUUUUUUUAAAUUUUGUAAGAUGUUGAAAUCUCUUUCAAGUGAUAAAUUCGAUUUGGUUAUGUUAUGUGUGACUACAUAUUUUAUAUUAAUCACUGCCUAUGUUAAGUCCUUCAAAAUUUAAAAUUUGAUACACUUAUUGUAUAUGCCAAACAACCAUUGAACUUGAUUUUUAUUUUUUUUUUUCGUCCUUCAACUGACUUCCAUUUUUUUCAGCCACAUUAUUUUCUCAACCACUCAAACUGAUUUUUCCACUAAGGCACCCGAUUUAAAUAUACCAUUCACCAACUAAGUGCCUAACCACUCCCCACCUCACUAACUAUUUUAAACUCCCAUUGUUAACUACCAUUUGGAAAGUUAACUUGCACGUUGAUUUCACAAAUCCACAAUAUAUACAUAAAAUUACAUUUACAUUAUCAUUUUAAAUUUCAUUUUCAUUUAUUUAAAUCCCCAUUUAAAUUGCUAACUGUCACUUCCAUUUGUAAUUGAAAGCAUUAACUUUCUUCAACCCCUAUAAUCACGUUUCCUCUGUGUGAAGAGGGGCCGGAUCACAGACCCAAGGAUUAGUCUAGAAUAGGACACCUUGUAAAAAAAAAAAAAAAAAAAUUCACUUACCCUUUUUCCAUAGACUACAAGCACCUUAGAAUCUAGAAAUUUCUGAUGGAUAAGUUAGGAACAUGUUGAAUUUUCUUACAAAUUGGAUACAAAAGGGAAUUCAAACUCCAAGCAUUUAAGGUAGGAGUUUUUUCGGCACUUUUGUUAAUGAUGUAAGAAUUAUUUGUUUUCGUUUUGCAUUAAACAUAUUAUUGUGUUACUCAUAAUGGAAGCACCUUUUGGUGCUUCAAAUAAGAGAAAGAGAUUGAAGGUGACACUAAUGAUCAAAGUUUGCAUUUGUGUUAUUGUGUUACUCAUGAAGGAAACACCGUUUAGUGGUUCAAAUAAGAGAAAGAUUGACAGUGAUACAAAUGAACAAAGUUUGCAUUUCUGAAAAUAUAUAUUUUUACCAUUUGCUUAAGUAUUUUCCUACUAAGUAUUACUUGUAGUACUCAUUCCUACUAAAAUUUCACAGUUGAUUCAAGGCAUGACAAUGGUUUUGCCUAGAGGAGAGUGCUCUGUGAGCUUUCACUUUUUAUUAAAAUUUCCAAUUUGUGUAAAUUUAUUAUGAAUACUUAGAUGAUGCUUUUAAAUAUGUUUAAAUGUUUGAUUUGUCUAGUUUUAUUUAUGUUUCAUGUCAACCAUAACUUAGAAAAUGUUGGAAUGACUAUGCAUAAAGUUUAUUUGUUGUUGGAUUGAAUUUCAGAUUCUGUCAUUCUAUUUCCAAAUCAUAUAACUUGG